rnacentral:rRNA from 1 species
UAUCGGAGAGUUUGAUCCUGGCUCAGGACGAACGCUGGCGGCGUGCCUAAUACAUGCAAGUCGAGCGGACUGAUGGGAGCUUGCUCCCUGAAGUCAGCGGCGGACGGGUGAGUAACACGUGGGUAACCUGCCUGUAAGACUGGGAUAACUCCGGGAAACCGGGGCUAAUACCGGAUAGUUCUUUUCCUCGCAUGAGGAAAAGUGGAAAGGCGGCUUCGGCUGCCACUUACAGAUGGACCCGCGGCGCAUUAGCUAGUUGGUGAGGUAACGGCUCACCAAGGCAACGAUGCGUAGCCGACCUGAGAGGGUGAUCGGCCACACUGGGACUGAGACACGGCCCAGACUCCUACGGGAGGCAGCAGUAGGGAAUCUUCCGCAAUGGACGAAAGUCUGACGGAGCAACGCCGCGUGAGUGAUGAAGGUUUUCG